rnacentral:rRNA from 1 species
GUUUUUCGUUCCAAGAUGAGUCCGCGUAAGAUUAGCUAGUUGGUGAGGUAAUGGCUCACCAAGGCAACGAUCUUUAACUGGUCUGAGAGGAUGAUCAGUCACACUGGAACUGAGACACGGUCCAGACUCCUACGGGAGGCAGCAGUAGGGAAUAUUGCACAAUGGAGGAAACUCUGAUGCAGCGACGCCGCGUGAGUGAUGAAGGCCUUCGGGUCGUAAAGCUCUGUCGCAGGGGAAUAACACAAUG